rnacentral:rRNA from 1 species
AAUAGAUACCCAGGUAGUCCACGCCGUAAACGAUGAGUGCUAAGUGUUAGGGGGUUUCCGCCCCUUAGUGCUGCAGCUAACGCAUUAAGCACUCCGCCUGGGGAGUACGGUCGCAAGACUGAAACUCAAAGGAAUUGACGGGGGCCCGCACAAGCGGUGGAGCAUGUGGUUUAAUUCGAAGCAACGCGAAGAACCUUACCAGGUCUUGACAUCCCAUUGACCGCUAUGGAGACAUAGCUUUCCCUUCGGGGACAGUGGUGACAGGUGGUGCAUGGUUGUCGUCAGCUCGUGUCGUGAGAUGUUGGGUUAAGUCCCGCAACGAGCGCAACCCUUGUUCUUAGUUGCCAUCAUUUAGUUGGGCACUCUAAGGAGACUGCCGGUGACAAACCGGAGGAAGGUGGGGAUGACGUCAAAUCAUCAUGCCCCUUAUGACCUGGGCUACACACGUGCUACAAUGGACGGUACAAACGGUUGCCAACCCGCGAGGGGGAGCUAAUCCGAUAAAACCGUUCUCAGUUCGGAUUGUAGGCCGCAACUCGCCUAC